CUUUUUUUUUUUUUUUUUUUUUUUUUUGGAUGAACUGCUGUUCUUACUCUUCUCCUGGUGCCUAUUAGCAGUUUAUCUUUCUGUGCAUCUAUCUGUAGCAGUUGGACAAAUGGAAAUGGCAAACAUCUUUAGUCAAUGAGGAAAAAAAUUGUGUACUACUUUUGUCUAAUCAGUGCCAUUUCUUCCUAAUUAUCUCCCUUGGAGAGAUUAUUAUGCCAAAUUAAAAAUUUUUAAUUAAAGUCAAGCUAAAUUUCAUAUAUCAAUAUAUCACUCUACCUGCUAGUCUAGUCUCUGUUAUAAAGGAUUGGUUUGAAAGUGCAUUAGUCUGUGCAGGCUGCUAUAACAAAAUACCAUAAAACAGGUAGCUUUUAAAGUACAGUAAUUUAUUUUUGACAGUUUUGGAAGCUGGAAAAUCCAAAAUCAAAACACCAACAGGCUGGGCAUGCAGCUCACGCCUAUAUCCCAGCACUUUGGGAGGCCGAGGUGGGUGGAUCACUUGAGGUCAAGAAUUGAGACCUGGCCAACAUGGUGAAACCCUCUCUCUACUAAAAAUACAAAAAAUUAGCUGGGCAUGGUGGUGGGUGCCUGUAAUGCAACUGCCCAGAAGGCUGAGGCAGGAGAAUUGCUUGAACAUGGGAGGUAGAGGUUGCAGUGAGCCAAGAUCAUACCACUGCACUCCAGCCGGGGCUACAGAGUGAGACUCCAGCUCAAAAAAAAAAAAACAAACAAAAAACCCGACAGAUUCAGUGUCUGAUGAGGGCCCUUGUUCUGAUACAUAAAUAGUGCCUUCUUGAUGUACCCUCACAUGGUAGAAGGAGCAAACAAGCACCUCGGGCCUCUUUCAUAAGGGAACUAAUCCCAUUGAUGAGGGUUCUGUCCUUAGGAUUUAAUUACCUCCCACUAAGGGCCCCCAUUUCUUAAUACGAUCACCUUGGGGGUUAGAAUUUCAACAUAUGAAUUUAGGGGAGACACAAGCUUUCAGAUCACAGCAGAGAGGUAUUUUUUUGUUUGUUUUGUUUUUGUUUUUUCUUUUUUUGUUUUUUAAGCCAUAUUCUUAGUUUGGGUGUGGUGGUGCAUACC
rnacentral:lncRNA from 1 species